rnacentral:rRNA from 1 species
GCCGAACGCUGGCGGCGUGCUUAACACAUGCAAGUCGAACGGCAAGGCACUGCUUUUUUGCGGUGCUCGACUGGCGAUCGCGUGCGUCACACGUGAGUAUCCUUCCCUAGACUUUGGGAUAACAUCACGAACCUGGAGCUAAUACCGGAUAGCCGCUCCUGCUGCGUGGAAAGGAUUGGAAAGUUUCGGCGGUUGGGGAUGGACUCGCGGCUUAUCAGCUUGUUGGUGGGGUAGUGGCUUACCCAGGCUUUGACGGGUAGCCGGCCUGAGAGGGUGACCGGCCACAUUGGGUCUGAGAUACGGCCCAGACUCCUACGGGAGGCAGUAGGGGGAAAUAUUGUACAAUGGGCGGAAGCCUGAGGCAGAGAGGUUGCGUGCGGGAUGACGGCUUGCGGGUUAUAAAACGCAGUCGCGUGUGACUGAGCGUGUGUGACGGUAAGGGGUAAAGAAGCACCGGCUAGCUACGGG